rnacentral:lncRNA from 1 species
UGUUGGAGUUGUUUCUGUUUUUCCGGAUGAAAAGAGACAACUCCUCACAAUAAGAUCAUGGGAUUAUUGGCUUUACACAAGAGGUGAAAAGACAAAACUAUGAAAGUGAUGUUAUAGUUGGAGUGAUUGAUUCUGGAGUUUGGCCAGAAUCGAAAAGCUUCGAUGAUAAAGGGUUCAGUCCACCACCUGCCAAAUGGAAGGGUUCAUGCCAAGCAUUUGGCCAGAAUCGAAAAGCUUCGAUGAUAAAGGGUUCAGUCCACCACCUGCCAAAUGGAAGGGUUCAUGCCAAGCUUUUGAUUUUACCUGCAAUAAG